UCUGUCUGGCUUAUUGCAGUGAGCAUAAUGCCCUCUAGGUCCAUUCAUUUUGUUGCAAAUGCACUUUGCAGUAAGAAAUGGACAUCAGUGUUGUUGGAAAGAAUGAUUGGUGUUUCUGCAAGUUCCAAACUCCUUCAAACCCUUGUCAGCUCCUGUGAUACUCUCUUCUUCUAUAUUAAUGUUGCCCCCUUUAGGACAUCACUAACUCUGUAGGAUGUGAUACAGACAGUUCCUGACUUAAGACAUUUCGACUUAAGAUGUUUUGACUUUAUGGUGCUGUGAAAGCAUUCAGUGGAAACCAUACUUCAAUCUUGUGAUCUUUACCCAGGCUCUUGGUUUGCAGUGUGAUCCUUGCUCGUGAUGCUGAGCAGCAGCAGUAAAUUACAGCUCCCAGACAGCCACCCCAUCAUGAGAGUCAACAACCAAUACACAUAAAACCAUUCUGUACUCCUACGACCAUUCUGUUUUUCAC